GCGAACGGGCUGAGUAAUAUAUCGGAACGUACCCUAGGGUGGGGGAUAACGUAGCGAAAGUUGACGGCUAAUACCGCAUACGCUCUACGGAGGAAAGCAGGGGACCGCAAGGCCUUGCGGCUCAUGGAGCGGCCGAUAUCGGAUUAGCUUGUUGGUGGGGUAAAAGCCUACCAAGGCGACGAUCCGUAGCUGGUCUGAGAGGACGACCAGCCACACUGGGACUGAGACACGGCCCAGACUCCUACGGGAGGCAGCAGUGGGGAAUUUUGCGCAAUGGGGGAAACCCUGACGCAGCAACGCCGCGUGGAGGAUGAAGCCCCUUGGGGCGUAAACUCCUUUCGACCAAGACGAUAAUGACGGUACUGGUGGAAGAAGCACCGGCUAACUCUGUGCCAGCAGCCGCGGUAAUACAGAGGGUGCGAGCGUUGUUCGGAAUUAUUGGGCGUAAAGGGCGCGUAGGCGGUGCCACAAGUCACUUGUGAAAUCCCCGGGCUUAACCCGGGGCCUGCAGGCGAAACUGUGGUGCUGGAGUAUGGGAGAGGUGCG
rnacentral:rRNA from 1 species